CUCUGAUUCACUCUGUAUAUAAUCAGCUUGAAGUAAAGAAUCUUCAGUUACCACUCGAUCAGUGCAUGUGUAAUAUCUCAUCCGAAUCACUUUUGAUAUUCCCAUGCCAAGAUUUGAUGAGAAUUAAUGGCAAGGGACGACAUCAAUAAAAAAACCAAAAUGAUAAAACCAAGUAUUUUCAAAUUCGAAACUGACAUAAUAUGGUAUAUCGCUUUCCAAGUCUUUCUAUUGCACGCUAUUGGUAUUUAUGGUUUAUUGACUUUCAACUACUGGCAAAAUUUGAUGACUACAAUAUGGAUAAUCGCUAUGCAUAUCAUAUCUAAUAUUGGAGUGUCUGGUGGCGCUCAUCGACUUUGGUCUCACAAAAGCUAUAAAGCAAAGUUACCGUUAAGAAUUCUACUUUUGAUAUGCUUUAGUGCAGGU